GAUGAACGCUGGCGGCGUGCCUAAUACAUGCAAGUCGAGCGACCAGACGAUGAGCUUGCUCCUCUAACGGUAGCGGCGGACGGGUGAGUAACAAGUAGAUAACCUACUUAUAAGACUUGGAUAACUUCGGGAAACAGCAGAUAAUACUGGCUAAUAUAUUGAACCGCAUGGUUCAAUAGUGAUAGACGGUUUUGGUGUCUCUAUGAGACGGUUCCGGGCCGCAUUAGCUAGUUGGUAAGGUAACGGCUAACCAAGGCAACGAUGCGUAGCCGACCUGAGAGGGUGAUCAGCCACACUGGAACUGAGACACGGUCCAGACUCCUACGGGAGGCAGCAGUAGGGAAUAUUGCGCAAUGGGCGAAAGCCUGAUGGAGCCACGCCGCGUGAGUGAUGAAGGUCUUCGGAUCGUAAAGCCCUGUUAUUAGGGAAGAAAAAAAGUGGAAGUAAACAUGCACGUCUUGACGGUACCCAAUCAGAAAGCAACGGCUAACUACGUG
rnacentral:rRNA from 1 species